AACAUUUUAAAUACCAUCGUGGGGUUGUUCAUACCCAUCUAUGGUCCUCCCGGGUGCUAUGAUCCACACGUGAGGACAUGCUGUAGCCCCCUUUGGGGCCCGUUUCCACAGAUUUCAAAUAGCCAUGGCAAAUUUAAAUGAUGUCUGUUCUACUUCCUAGAUGUGCUUCUCCUUGCUGUGGAAAGUCUCCCAUGGCAAGACCACGCUUCCCUUUAGUUGGGAAAUGAAAGCCUAGAAUUCCAAUUCACAGUGAACUGCUGCCCAGCUCAGCUGGGGCAUCGUCUUCUCUGGGAAGCCGCUCCUUCACUGCCUUAGUAAGCAACACCAUCGGAGUGCCUGGCCCCCAGAACUGGGUCUCGUCACCAUUCUAUCUAAGGCCUCCUACAGGGAUUAGGACACCUCCAGGACACCCCACAGAUAUUUGUAGAAGGAACAGAAUAAAAUAUUUUUCCUACA